GCUAAGUGACUCAGUAGAUAGAGAACCAGGCCUAGAGUUCAGUUCAAAUUUAACGUUAGUUACUUCCUAGCGGAAGGAAGGAAGGAAGGAAGGAAGGAAGGAAAGAAAGAAAGAAAGAAAGAAAGAAAGAAAGAAAGAAAGAAAGAAAGAAAGAAAGAAAGAAAGAAAGAAAGAAAGAGGAAAGAAAGAAAGAAAGAAAGAAAGAAAGAAAGAAAGAAAGAAAGAAAGAAAGAAAGAAAGAAAGAAAGAAAGAAAGAAAGAAAGAAAGAAAGAAAGAAAGAAAGAAAGAAGGAAGGAGAGAAAGAGGAAGGAAGGAAGAAAGGAAGGAAGGAAGGAAGGAAGGAAGGAAGGAAGGAAGGAAGGAAGGAAGGAAGGAAGGAAGGAAGGAAGGAAGGAAGUAGGAAGGAAGAAGGAAAGAAGGGAAGGAAAGGAGGGGAGGGAGGGAGGAAGGAAGGAAAGAAAGGAAGGAGGAAGGUAGGUGAGUAGGGAAGUAAGAAAGGAAGGAAGGAAGGAAAGAAAGGUAGGACGGAGGAAGGAAGUAGGGAGGGAAGGAAGGGUAGAAAGGGAGGGAAGGGAGGA
rnacentral:lncRNA from 1 species